rnacentral:rRNA from 1 species
CGGGAUUGGCAUGGGCGAAAGCCUGAUCAGCAAUGCCGCGUGUGAAGAAGGCCUUCGGGUUGUAAAGCACUUUUGUCCGGAAAGAAAUGGCUCUGGUUAAUACCUGGGGUCGAUGACGGUACCGGAAGAAUAAGGACCGGCUAACUACGUGCCAGCAGCCGCGGUAAUACGUAGGGUCCAAGCGUUAAUCGGAAUUACUGGGCGUAAAGCGUGCGCAGGCGGUUGUGCAAGACCGAUGUGAAAUCCCCGAGCUUAACUUGGGAAUUGCAUUGGUGACUGCACGGCUAGAGUGUGUCAGAGGGGGGUAGAAUUCCACGUGUAGCAGUGAAAUGCGUAGAGAUGUGGAGGAAUACCGAUGGCGAAGGCAGCCCCCUGGGAUAACACUGACGCUCAUGCACGAAAGCGUGGGG